rnacentral:lncRNA from 1 species
AUUUUGUUUGGUAAAUGUCUGUAACCGUUUACAAAGCAUAGAUUCCGGCUUUAAAGCCAAUCUAUCAACCGUUCACUUCCUUUUUCUUUGUUCUUUUGUUCAUUAUUUUCUUUUGCAUGCUCUCUGUUGUUGCAUCUGAUUUGAUUGCAGGUGUCAGACGUGAAAGGCCAACGGUUGGCUGGUGAGAAGGCGAGGUAGCGCGCGUGAAGGAGGCCGAACGGCGCCUAGGGUUUCCCUCUUCUCCUUUGGCUGAAAAAUGUUUAGGAUAGUUGGGCUGGUUGGGCUUCAGGGUUUUCUUUUAAUUGGGUAUUGGGUAAUUUGUUAUUUGGGCUAGAUGUAAUGGACUCUUGGACUUUUAUUUUGUUUAUUGUAUUUUGGGUCUUAUUUUGGUUUGUUGGCAUGGGCCAAAAUUGGCUAUAACAGCUGCCCCUCUUUGCUCAUUCUCGUGUAAUGAGAAUGGAGCAAAGACAUUAAAAUAGCCAAUUUUGCCUAGUCUAACUGGAUCUUGGCUUCUUGGUGCUUCUUUUCUUCGAGUAACCUCGCUCCAUCCUACUGCAUCUUCAGGGGUAUUGGAAUUAAUUCUAUGGUUUGCUCCAAGGUAAUUUCAAGGAGAGGAGACUUGUAGCUUCGAUCAACUCUGUUGGAACUUCAAAGGGCUAAGGCUUGAUAAUUUCAACCUGCUCCACUGCGUCUUUAGGGAGAUGAGGUUUGCGACUCUAACCCGCUCCACUGCAAUUUCAGGGAGAUGAUAAUGGCUUUAAUUUGCUCUACUGCAACUUCAGAGAGAUAAGAUUUGCCAUGGUAGAUUUGAUCCGACCCUACUGCAACUUCAAAGGUAUAGGAUUUAUAGCUUUAAUCUGCUCUACUGCAACUUCAGAGAGAUAAGAUUCGCUAAUUCGAUCUGCUCCACUGCAACUCCAGAGAGGCAAGAUCUAUAAUUUUCAGCCUAUUACCCUACUGCUUAGGGGGUUAAGGCUUGGUGGCUUGAAUCUGCUUCACUGUAACUUCAGGAAUGCGAGAUUCAUCGUCUCUGAUCUGCUCCACUGCAACUUCAGGGAGGCAAGAUCUGUAAUUUUCAACCUAUUACCUGACUGCUUAGGGGGUCAAAGCUCGUAAACUCAGCUUGUUACCCUACUGCUUAGGGGGGUUAAAGCCCAUCAUCUUCGAUCUGUUUCCCUACUGCUUAGGGGGUCAAGAUCUGCGAAUUCACCGAUGUUGCUACACCAUCCUCUAGGGAUAUGAUCUGUAAAAUCGGUUCCAGGUAACUAUGCUUAUGCCAAAUAAUUAGGAUGCUAUGAUCGAAAUGAAUCAAAUGCUCCUAACUAGAUGUGUUAUGAAUGAUAUAUGAAUGAAAAUGUCAUUAUUUUUAAUGCUUGAUCUGAUAUUACUCGUCGUUCACCGAGAUUUUAUCAAUGACAUAUUACUCUGCCUUUUUUUCGACUGGUAUCUCUGGCAGAAAACCCGAAGAAUAAUCACAAUUUGGGCUAUUCUUUCCCUAACACUUCCAACCCUUAAGUUUGGGUAAUUCAAACCAAUUAGUUCCGUGUCAGGUCCUUGUAUCAUUUAGAAGAAUUUCAGAGUUAUAUGCAGAACUCUUUUUGAAUAUUAUUAGUCCAUUAAUCAUCAUUUUAAUGAAAGACGCUUGAAAAAGAUUAUCGCAGUAGGCAAGAUGGAAUUUUAUUGAGAGCGAAACUCAAGAUGAACAAGGUAAUCAAGAUAGGAUAUUUGCUAAUAUACAAAAUGAGAACCUAUGAAUUAAUCAAUGUAGCACAUUCUGCUAAACAGAAUGAAUAAGAUAAGAAUAGGUGCCCUAGAUAUCGCAGUAUAAGCUUCGUUGCACAAACUUCUCAAGGACCCUUUGUGUAACAGCCUAAUUUUCAGUGGUGUCGGAACAGUGAUUUAAGAUCACUAAAUCCGACAAAUGAGUAAGAAAUAUUAUUAAUUUAGUGAGUAUAAGUUAAAUGUGAAGUUAGAAAAAAUUUUGAAAUUGUGAAAUGUACAAAAAAUACAUAUAUAUAUUAAAAUAAUUAGAAUUGAAAACGAGGUAUCGAGACCUUGGGAAUUUUAAAUCGAGCCAUAAAUAUUUUUAUAAAUAUUUAUGGAGUCUUAAUAAGUUAGUAUUAAAGUUUCGUCAAGAAAUUUUAAAGUACUGAUAGCUAAUUGAACAAAAAGGACUAAAUUGUAUCAAAUGCAAAAUUGUGGGAAAUGAUUAAAUAGCUUAAAUGAUAAAAUAAAGAGGGUUUAAAAGGAAAAUAGACCCAAGUUAUAUUUGGGCUGGACGGCAAGAGCAUGAAAUCACCAAGAAAAUAAGGGCAAAAUUGGAAAAUUGCAAAAUUUACUUAAUAAAGCAAGGACUAAAGUGGAAUUAUCUAGAUUUCUCUUUAUUUUUCUGCACUCUCAUCAGCAAAAACACCAUAGAAGAGUUUCCUUAAGCUGGUUUUUCAUAUUUUUACUGCAAGUAAGUUCAAUUCUUGAUUAUUUCUUGAAAUUUUUGUGUUUUUGUGACUUUUACAACUAGGUCCAUUUGUUGAAUUCAUUAGUUCUUGAUUCUAUGAAAGAAAUUAAAUGUUUCUAUGAAUAUGUGCUGGAAGUAUAUGAUGAUUUGAUAUAGAAUUAGAGCUUUAAAUUGUUUAUAUGCUGAUUUUAUUGAAAGAAUUGAAUAGAAAGUGAAUGUUUGGGACCUAAAUUGUAAAAGAGUUUGAAGUUAGAUUUUUAUGUGGAAAUUCUGAAUUUCAAUAGUUAUGAAAUAACUUAUAAUGUCUAGGAAAAGUAUUAAUUGAGAAAAUUAGUUUAAUUGAGGGGUUAAUUAAGUAAGGACUGAAUUGUAUGAACUGUGAAAUUUGGGGCAAAAUGAAAAUCAACAUUUUGCACUAAAACAGUUUUGGACAGCAGCAAUAGUCUAACUUUGAAAAAUCUCCAAAAAUUUUAGAAAUCUAAUUAGAGGAUGAAUAAAAUACGAAACUAAAACUUAUUUAGUCUAGUUUCUUAUAGAAGAAACGGUGUAAGCAAUGGAAUUAUAAAUAAUGAGAUAUAAUAAGUUUUGUGAGACAAUGUCAGAAUGAUUUCGGGUUCCCCUGUUCUGACUUUGGAAAAUCAUCAAAAAUUGGAGAAAAAUAAUUAAGGGAUUAAAUUUAUAUUUUUAAAAUCCUUAAAGAGUCUAUUUUCAAUAGAAAUAAGCGGGAACAUCAUCCGAAUCUCGUACGAUGAGAGAAUUAAUUCUUAGUGAAAAAGGGUCGGAACUGUCAGACAUCAGAACAAGGGCAACUUUAAAGAAUAAACUGUACUUAUUGGCUAAGCCAAAAAUUCUGAAAAUUUUAUGGUAAUAAGAUAAGUAAGUCUAGUUUCAGGGAAAAUUAGCGGAUCUUAAUUUCGAGUUCUUUAGCUUAAAAUAUAAAUAAUUUAGUGACUAUGAUGCAAAUGGACAGUUUUGAAUAUACAUAAGUAAAUAGUGAAAUUAUUGAUAAUGUUACUUGUUGCAUGUUAUAUAAAUUAAGGAUGUGGAAUGGAGAGAAGGAGGAGGAAAAUAUGUAUGAAUAUUCAGCUAGCAUGGCUAAUUUGUAUGUUUUAGGCUCAUGGACUAAAUUGAAUGAAAGUAAAAUUUUAUGGGCAAUUUUGUAAAAAAAAUGUUAGAAAUGACCAAUUUGCAUGAAAUGGAUUAUUUUAUUAUUUAAAUUACAAAAUUGAAUGAAACUAUUAAUUUAGCUCAAGAUCAGGGAAAAACAUGUUUUAAGGAUUAAAUUGAAAAGUGUUGAAAUUAUGGAAAAUUCUGACAUUUUAUAGAAUUCAUCGGUUGUUAUCAAUUUAUGUGAGAAUAACGGCUGGAAAUAAGGAUUAAAUUGCAAUAAUUUUAUUUUAAUUUAACCUAAGGAUGAAAUCGUCAUUAAUUAAAAGUUUAGGGGUAAAAUGAUAAUUUUGUUUAGAGCAUUAGUUGAACGUAUUAUAACAUGAAAUAAAUGAAAACGAUGAUCAAAUUUCUUUAUAAAGAUCCGGAUGACUUGAAUACGAUACUUGAACGUGGAAAAGAAAAGAUAUCGGAUUAAUGAAAUAUCUGAUAAAUGAAUCGGUAACUCCGGUAAUGCUCCGUAACUCUAUUCCGGUGACAGAUUCGGGUUAGGGGCGUUACACUUUGAACUCGGUAUGUGUUUAGAAGACCAAUAGCACUUUGUUGAUGCCCCAAUAUGUAGCACCCCUCCUUCUUGAUAAUUCAGAGAAGACAAAACUGUCGCAUGCCCCAUGUUCAAUCAAAAUUUGAAUUGCCCAUUCUUGGGUUUUCAAUUCAAACCCCUUUGGUCUCAAAGCGCCCUUUCACGGGUUUUCACCUUGGCCUCUCCGUUUUUUUUAGGUAAAAUACCUCUUGACUGAAUCCGAAUUUACAGGAUUAGGCAGGCUUUUACCAUCCAUCUCGGUCAAAAUCAGAGCCCCUCUGGAGAAAGCCUUCUUUACCACAUAAGGUCCCUCCCAAUUUGGCAUCCAUUUCCCUCUGAAGUCAUUUUGUAUGGGGAGGAUCUUUUUCAAUACGAGGUCUCCUUCAUGGAAUUCUCUAGGGCGAACCUUCUUAUUAUAAGCCCGCAUCAUUCUCUUUUGAUACAUUUGACCAUGACGGAUAGCCUUUAGCCUAUUUUCUUCAAUCAAGUUCAACUAGUCGUAUCGAGACUGGAUCCAUUCUACUUCAUCUAAUUUUAGUUCUGAAAGCACACGUAGAGAGGGAAUCUCGACCUCAAUAGGCAGAACUGCUUCCAUUCCAUAAACUAAAGAAAAAGGUGUUGCCCCGGUAGAGGUUCUGACUGACGUCUGGUAGGCAUAUAGGGCGAAUGGUAAUUUCUCGUGCCAAUCUUUAUAGGUCUCAGUCAUUUUUCCUAUGAUCUUAUUGAUGUUCUUAUUGGCUGCUUCCACUGCACCAUUCAUAUUUGGGGGAUAAGGUGACGAGUUAUGAUGUUUGAUCUUGAAUUAGCUGCAGACAUCCACUAUCGUGCUGUUGUUCAAGUUCAGUGCAUUGUCUGAUAUGAUCCUUUCAGGCAUCCAAUAUCGACAUAUGAUUUCUUUCUUUAAGAACUUACUGACUGUCGACUUUGUGACGUUGGCGUAAGAAGUAGCCUCUACCCACUUGGUGAAGUAAUCUAUGACCACAAAGAUGAAUUGGUGUCCAUUAGAUGCCUUCGGUGAGAUCGGCCCAAUGACAUCCAUGCCCCACAUGGAGAAAGGCCAUGGAGAAGUCAUGACAUGAAGGGGUAAAGGAGGUACAUGAAUUUUAUCUCCAUAAAUUCGGCAUUUAUGGCACUUCUUGGCAUAGUUGACGCAAUCUCCUUCCAUGGUGGACCAAUAAUAUCCGAAUCUCAUGAUCUGUCUGGCCAUGGUGAAACCAUUAGCAUGUGUUCCACAGACACCCUCAUGAACCUCUUCCAGGAUUUGCUUAGCCUCGACAGCGUCUACACAUCUUAAGAGUACCUGAUCAUUCCUUCUCUUGUAUAGGAUCUCUCCAUCCAAGACAUAGUCACUAGCCAGCCUUAUUAGUGUCCUUUUAUCAUUCUCAGUCCAUUGAUCUGGGUAUUCACGACUCUUCACAUAUCGUAAAAUAUCCUGGUACCAAGGAUGAUCAUCUUUCUAUUAUUCUUCUUCAAUGUUGCAGCAAUGAGCCGGAGCCUCAUAAAUACUCAUUUGGAUAGGCUUCAUAUUCUCUUGUUUAUUCAUUUUGAUCAUAGAAGCUAAGGUUGCCAAAGCAUCAGCCAUCUGGUUUUCGUCUCGUGGAAGGUAGUAGAAAGUGAUAUCGUCAAACUCCUCUAUUAACUCAAGAACCAGCCUUCGGUAAUUGAUCAACUUAGGUACUCUUAUCUCCCAUUCACCUUUAAGCUGAUAGAUCACUAAUGCAGAAUCCCCAUAUACCUCUAGUGCUUUAAUCUUACGUUCUAUUGCUGCACGAAUUCCCAUGAUACAUGCUUCGUAUUCGGCCAUAUUGUUUGUGCAAUCAAAAUCUAAUUUACUGGUGAAAGGACAAUGAUCUCCACUUGGGGAUACCAAAACUGCCCCAAUUCCGUUCCCCACAGCAUUGGAAGCUCCAUCAAAAUUCAACUUCCAGGGGUGGCCUUCUUGAGAGUCUUCUUCCAUGGUUGCCACGUACAUUAGAUCCUCAUUUGGGAAGUCAAAUCUUAACGGUUCAUAAUCUUCUAGAGCUCUUCUGGCUAGAAAAAUCUACUAUUACACUCUCCUUUAUAGCCUUUUGGUUUACGUAGACUAUGUCAAACUCAGAAAGCAAAAUUUGCCAACGAGCCAUUCUUCCGUUCAAAGCAUUUGACUCCAUCAUGUACUUCAAAAGGUCUAGUUUUGAGAUGAGCCAAGUUGCAUGGUACAACAUGUAUUGUCUCAAUCUUCAGGUUGUCCAAAUCAAAGCACAACACAACUUCUCGAUCGACGAAUAUCUUGUCUCACAUUCAGUGAAUUUCUUGCUGAGAUAGUAUAUCGCUUUUUUUUUUCUUAUUAACUUGUCAUGUUGGCCCAACACGCAUCCCAUAAAGUUUUCAAACACUGUCAAGUACAGUAUCAAUAUUUUAUCCGGGCAAGGUGGCAUCAGUACUGGGGCACUGGACAAAUAAAGUUUGACCUUAUCAAAAGUUUUCUGGCACUCCUCAUUCCAAACACCUGGAUUAUGCUUCCUAAGGAGACGGAAUAUAGGGUCACGUUUCCCCGUUAGUUGUGAGAUGAAACGGGCGAUGUAAUUCAGUCUUCCUAAGAAACCUCAAACUUCUUUUUGAGUGCGCAGCAGAGGUAAUUCUUGUAUAGCCUUGACUUUAUCCAGGUCAAUCUCGAUCCCUUUUUCAUUGACCACGAAUCUCAACAACUUUCCUGAUCUGGCCCCGAAGCUGCACUUUGAGGGAUUGAGCUUUGGUUGGAACUUCCUUAACCUUAAGAAUAGUUUCCUAAGGACUUACACAUGCUCCUUCUCUGUUUUGGAUUUCGCAAUCAUGUCAUCAACAUAAACUUCAAUCUCCUUGUGCAUCAUGUCAUGGAACAAAGUUACCAUGGCUCUUUAAUAUGUUGCUCCUGCGUUUUUCAGUCCGAAUGGCAUCACCUUAUAACAAAACGUUCCCUACAUGGUCACAAAUGUUGUCUUUUUCAUGUCUUCAGGAUGUAUUUUUAUCUGGUUGUAUCCUAAGAAGCCGUCCAUGAAGGAGAAAAGUGAAUAACCUGCCGUGUUAUCCACUAGUGUAUCAAUGUGAGGCAAUGGGAAAUUGUAUUUUAGGCUGGCUUUGUUCAAAUCCCGAUAAUCCAUGCACAUCCAUACCUUCCCAUCUUUCUUAAGAACUGGGACUAUGUUGGCUACCCAUUCUCAGUACUUGACCACUUGUAAGAAACCAGUGUCGAAUUGCUUCUUGACCUAUUCCUUUAUCUUUAACAAAACAUUGGGUCUCAUCUUUCGGAGUUUCUGUUGUACUGGCCUGCAUUCUUCCUUUAUGGGGAGUCGAUGUACCAUGAUAUCAGUAUUCAAUUCGGGCAUGUCUUGAUAUGACUAUGCGAAGGCAUCCUUGAAUUCCUGGAGUAACUCGAUGAGGUCUUACUUUGUUUCUACAGCGAUACUAGCUCUAAUUUUCACCUCUUUUCCUUCUCCUAAACUAACAAUUUCCACCGAAUCUUUGUGAGGUAGGAUUUGUUUCUCCUCUUGCUCUACCAUCCUUAACAAAUCAGGAGAUAAGUUACAAUUUCGGUCAUCUUCAAAAUCCUCAGUGUCCUCCAUACACAAAUCUUGCUCGAAAGGAAUCUCUGAGUCAUUGGCAACGUUACUCAUAUCAUUGAUAUCUAGAGACCUGUUAUGGAUGAAGAAAGAAAUCCAAAGAAUAAAAGAAUCUAAGAAUAUUUUAUUUGUGUGGUAUGAUUAUGAAUGAAGUAGAAAGAAUAAAUGAAUAUUUGCUUAAUAUGAUACGCAAGAAUGCAUUUUUAUUGAAAUGACGAUAUUUGGACAUAUGUAAGGGUUCUUAUUGCCCCUAGGCAUAGAGCAAUAAUCUUGUUUUGAACAUUACUCUAAGUUAAUUCUAAAAGUUACAGGGAUCUCCUCCACGGUCCAAUUGUUCAAAACACUUCCAGGAAUGUAAGGGCAAAUUCCAGAUAAAUCCCCUUCUUCGGUUCUUUCUUCAGAUAUGGCGUUAAUGCUCUAACUUCCCAACAUUUCUUCUGCCACUUUCUGCAUUGUCAUCUCUUGUUUUGGAUGGAUAGUUCCUCCGGACACAAACGUUCAGGAUAAAUGUGGAAAGGUCAUGGGUUCUCAUUUGACCUCCUUACCGCGCAAACGUGCUCUUCUCAUCUCUUGCUUUUUCUCCAGCUCUUUCUUCUUUUGCUUCGCGUCUGCCUUAAAUUCUAAGCCAAAGCGGUCUCAUUUUUCUUUUAGCAUCGGUAUCUUGCUCCUUCCUUGGAGGCAUCUUCCAAGUCCUCUUCCUGGCAGGACUCAUUCGCCGACCGUCAAUCGCAGGCCCAUCCUCGUAGCUUUGGAUAUUUUGGGCAUUGGGAUCUUGUUUCCUUCAACAAUAAAUGUAGCAUUGACGAAUUCCAACAAUCAAAAGGAACCUCAUCGUCCGUACCCACGUACGGUGCGUCACUGAUAACGGAUGCAAUGAUGUCUUCCUCCGCGUUUAUCGUUACCAACCUACCCUCAGUUACCAACUUCAAUUUUUAGUGUAGGGACAACGGCACUGCCCCUGCCGAGUGAAUCCACGGCCUCCCCAACAGGAAAUUGUAUGAUGGCUUGAUGUCCAUUACCAAGAAGUCCACCUCGUUUGUAUUUGGGCCAAUCAAGAGAGGCAUCACGAUCCUUCCCAUCACUUUUCUUUUCGUACCGUCGAAUGCUCUCACGAUGUUUUGACAUGUCUUCAUGUGAGAGUUAUCUACUGGCAAUCUAUUUAACGUGGACAAGGGCAUGACAUUCAAUGCUGAUCCAUUAUCAAUCAAUACCCCCGGCAAUGUGUAUCCCUUGCAACGAGUGGUAAUGUGUAAGGCCUUUGUAGAUCCCAUGCCUCCCGGUGGUAUUUCAUCAUCAUUAAAGAAAAUAAAAUUAUCCGCGCAGAUGUUGUUGACCAAACGAUCGAGCUUGUUGACGGAUAUAUCAUCCGCAACAUAUGUUUCAUUUAAAACCUUCAUCAAUGCACUUCGGUGAGUCUCUAAGCUCAAGAGCAAGGCUAAUACCGAUAUGCGGGCUGACUAUUUGUGUAACUGUUCCACAAUGCUGUACUCGCUGUGUUUUAGGAAUUUUAAGAAUUCCUUAGCCUCAUUUUCAGUUACAGGCUCAUUGACAGGUGAUUCAGGUCCGGUUGUCUUUUCCUUUUCUCGUUCAACGACCACGAAUUUUCCUUUAGCUGGUUUGGCCUUUGGUUCGGAGUAUAACGCCUUCCGCUGCGUGUAUAGAAACCCUCGUCUUAACCUUUCUCUGAAGUGCCAACUGGAUUCUCCCCUCCCGGGAUCGUUACGUUGCAGUCGUAAUUCCAAUGAACCCUUUUGCUAUCCUUAUAAGGGAAAGCAACGGGCUUUUGAAUUAUGACCUUUGGCGCAAUUGGUACUCCGACUUCAUUGACUCUUGGUCAGGAUAUAAUUACAAUCGGUGAUUGACCCCUGGGACAUUGUUGGUUGGCCCUUGCUUUGACGUGCACACAUCUUCUCCCUUCGGGCCCUCGGUGUACUCAAAGAAUUCGAUCUCUUUAUUUUCUAUCAAUCUCUGUACUAGAGCCCUGAAUUCAUUGCACUUUUGGAUCUCACGCCCUUCCUUGUAGUGGAAUUCACAGUAGUACUUCCCUCUUUCAGGCUUCUCCUUUAAACCUUGUAUAAGUAAACCUUCUUUCACCAUUUUUUUCCAAACCCAUCUUAACGGGGUCUUUACCUCCGAUACGUCCAUCUUAGUUCUCCUUCCUCCACUUUCGUUUAUCGCGUUUACCUCAUUGUCUGAAUGACUGGGUAACGGAUUUCCCGCCACAUUAGGUUUUGUGGGAUCAUUGAACUUCACAAUGCCCAUCUUUAUGAACCUUUCGACUAAUUUUUUGAAGGCUGCGCAGUUCUUAAUUGUGUGCCCCACAAUUCCUGCAUGGUAUUCGCAUUGUGCGUUUGCAACAUAUCAUUUUGGGAAUGGAGGUUGCAUCAUAUCAUCCUUUGACAGAACAUACUAAUAUAAGCUUCAGGGCAGCUCGUUCCAUUAUACUUUUCAAAUUCUGGGGUUUUAAAUUUUGGUAGGAGCACCAGGUCUAGGACCAAGCUUAAGUCCUUAGCGUCGAUCUCGCCACGAUAAUCAGCAGUCUCCAUUGCUUUAAAUUUUUUUUCAAGCCAUUUACAAUGAUCAUCGAGUUGUUUUGUCAGGUUUACUUUUUCUUUCUCCAUUUCCACCGCGUCGUCAAGGUCCGGUACAAAUGGAUUAGCUGGAUUAUCUCCAGGCUUAGAGCUCGAACCUAUAGGAAUGUUCAUUUGUGUAGAGGCAUUGGCCUGGUAUUAUUGGGGCCUGAUAAUGACAGGUACUGUUCGUGGGUGCACCUUCGGUUGUGGUUGAGUGUUUACCGGAGUAAAGUCUGGAGGGAAGAUAGGGUCUUCAUUGUCGUUCCCCAUAGUGCUCUUUCCUUUUUCGCGUUCUCUAGCCUGCAACUGCGCCAACUGGCCUAUCAGAUUAUUUUGGGAUUCUUCCAUUUUUUCCUUCAUAUAUUGUUGUAUCUUAACCAGUUGCUCUUGCAUCUGCGCUUGUAAUUGUUCUUGUAUUUCUCUUUGCAUUUGUUCUAUCCUUUCUAAUCUCUGAUCCAUUGCUUUGGUUUUACGACGGGUAUAGUAGCUGUGUUCGGUUGGUUGAUUCUCGUUGGUUUCCAGAUUAACUAAAAUAAUUUUGUUUAAUCAGGGUUUUUUCGUGAAAUUUAAUGCACAUGAUGAAAUGUAAUGCAAAUGAAUGAAUGCAAAAAAGAGGCGUUUAUUCCAAUUCAAUUUCAUUAGAAGAAAAAUUUCUUUACAUAGAACGAAUGAUUACAUAUACGACUUUGCCCUAAUGCCCAAAGCCUUAACUUUCCUAAGAAGCCAAGCUAAGUGCCGGCCUCGCUCUGAUUCCGACUCGUACUUUAAGCUCAAUAUAUCUGCUUGGACUACCAAGGUUUGCAAGUGAUCAGCUACCUCCCGAACCUGAGCCACAGCUUCGCCCAUGACAUAGUCUCUAUCUUUAAUCUGGUUUUGAGAGCGGAGAAGUUGUUCCCUACAAUGGUCGUUGUUUACCUCAAGAAGUUCUACUCAGAUUUUGCUAUCUCGCAGUGCAGUCUCGAGUUCCUCUACUUUUCCCUUUAACUCUUCGAUCUUGCUCAGAUUGGCCUUCAGCUCAAUUACCGAAUUACGGCUACGAUGUUGAUGUAGUGAUCUUUCCAAUUCAGCCACCCGAGCUCGUAACUUCUCCUUUUCGUUUUGGCUUUCUAUCAAACUCUUCUUCAGAGUGUCCUCUCAUACUCGGGCAUCUUGAAACCUUUUAUCCCAAUGGUCGGCUCUAGUCUUUUCCUCUUUGAUCUCUUGACGCCAUUGCUCUGACGCUUUACCUAAACUGGCAGUUCUUAUCGACAUACGCAGUUUAUUGUAAUCGAUUUUCAGACUAUCUAAAUCUUCCUCGGCCUUGUUCUUUCUUUUCCUUAACUUUUCGGCCUCUAGCUUGUGGAUAUCGACGUCUAACCCCAACUUCAUUUUCUCUUCUUCUAGCUACUCUAUCUUCUUUCCUAACUCUGAGUUCUUUUUCUCAAAGUUUUGUUUAAUGAUCUCUAACUCGGAUGGGAUGACUCAUAAAUGCUUCUCUAUCGGUUGAGUGUUCCCUUGAUUCAGCCUAGGGAUGUUGUCGUUAACUCUCCAACCCCACCACCAUUCAUACUCGAAGGUCGUCAUCGGGCUUGUGGUGAAUCCUUUCAUUCUUCGAGUUUGGUUCCAAGCAUCUGAUAUCUCACGAACUUUUUUCUUAUAACCGUCAUCCUUAUAAGAGAACUCACAUUGAGCUAACCCUUGUGUCACCGGUAUAAACUGCCUUGAUCGGUACUGCCUUAACACUAUCAGCGGGGCGUAUUCAAUGGCUCCCCAUAUUCCAGCCAGAGGGACCCAGUUAAAAUCACUGCACCUAUAAGAUCUCGUCAGGAAUCAACCACGGAGCCCUCCAUUCAACAUCUUCGGCCCGUAAAUUUUGGAGAAUAAUUAUCCAUUUCUCUUCUGAAAUGUCGUCUCUCCUCGAUGUGGCCACUAAUUCUCUUAAUGGAGAAUAAUCCUUAGAGAAUACCCGAUAGGAGACCUUCUCCACCUUCCAAAAAUGACUGUAGAACCAAGCCAAAAGAAACUGUGCAUAACCAAUAAAUCUUUUCUCGCCCGCUCUUCGGCAUGCAUUCAAGGAUCGAAAAGUUUCUGCUAGGAUUGCCGGGACGGAUGUGGUACCUUUAUCAAGUCGAUCGAAUAAAUCCGAGACGGCUUCAUCUAUGUGUCCGAGUGGCUUAGGAAAAACGAUCAAACCGUAGAGGCUUAAGGCAAAAACAUCAACCCUUUUCUUCGAAUCCGGGUGCGCAAGAAUCAAGUCCCUCAAAUUCCUCUAAGGAAUACACUUACUAUCCCCUUUUUGCUUGAUGUGGGCUGCAACCUAUUGCUCGCUCAUCCCCGUUAUAUUCAUCAACUUCUUCAAAAAAUGAGGGAUGUUGACAGGUCUUGAAUAGGCCCUAUCGGCCUGAAACUUCGGGCAAUUAAGUAACGCCAUGUAUUCCUCCAUAAUAGGUACUAAAUCAAUUCAUCCGAAGGUGAAGCAACUGUAAGCGGGGUUCCAAAAUUGUGCAAGGCCCGGAACAAGUACUUGUCCACCUUUACAUCAAGCAAAUAGGGUAGGUCGCCAUAGUUACAGUAAAAUAGUUGUUUGACUUCGCCAUUCCAACUAUUCCAUAUAUCCCUUAACUCUUGCAGGUCGUUCUGAGUUACACUAAUGCGAGUGAAAUCCCACAACUCUGACUCAUAUCCCUCGGUCAAACUAUCUCCUUUCUCUUGUUGCGUUCUCUCAGACCACACUCGAACGGUUGCAUUAUCCUCCACUCUAUCAAGAAAUCCUUUUUCCAUGCUAAACUCUCCUAUUUAGUAACCGAAUCGUAAAUCAACACCCUUUUUUAUGAGAUGUCAUGUGAAAACAAUCAAAAUGCAACAAGUCAGUAUUAUAUACACAGAAUAGAAUUCAAAACAAAUAAGGAGUAAAUAAGCACCUAAUCGGGUGACCACUAGGGUUCGGUGUGGUUCUACCUGGGGUAGGCUCUUAGGGCUCAUUACAUGUGGUUCGGUUCUAAAGUAAAGGUACCUGAACUAGCAGAUUCCUCGAUCCUCACCCAUUAUAGGCUCGUAUGGACCGAGUUCGAUUCAGGGGAAUACAUUUCCUUACGGCUAUACAGAGAUAAAAACCUCGCGAAUACGCAGGUACGGAUGUAUCCCGAAAGCGAUCCACUACCCUAUACAGAGGUGAAGACCUCACGAAUGAGUAUUUUCUCACUUCCACUUAAGAGGGUGAAAUUGACAGGUAAUGCAAUGCGAUAUGCAGAGAUACAGAAUUAAACCACUUAAAGCAACAUAUUAUGAAAAACGCCACGAAAGUAACAGACAACAUACAAUGCAGUAAAUUUAAAACCGAUUUUCAAUUUUCAACAAAAGACAAUAAAUAAUCAAUUUAAGGCUCGACUCUCGAAGUCCUCAGUGGAGUCGCCAAGCUGUCGAAACCAUUUUUUACAAACGAGAUCGACUUGAUUUUGAAAACGAAAAUUAAAACGGGAGUUACCACCGAUCCUUAUUAGGUGUGAUCGGAUCACCUUUGUUUUAAUAAAACAUUUUAGUUUACUAAAACAGUGUUUUGGUCUACGAAUUUUAAGAGAACAAGUUCGGGAGUCGAUUACGUGCGAGGAAGGAUUAGCUCCCCCGACACGCCCAAGAAUUGGUACCGAAUUGAUUAGUUAGUGUCUUAAUGUCGAAAAUCAAAAAUCGAGAAUGAAUUUGAAAUACAAUCUUUUCAAUAAAUAUCGAUUUUAAAAUUUUUGAAUUAGCUCAAAACAAUUUGUUUAAAGAUUUCCUUAUCUCAAGAUAUCGGAGUAUCACAUCCUGUAUGUUAGAACACAAUACCAUGAAUUCCCGAGCACAAGGUCGUCUUUUAAUUUAAAUGAGAGUUUCGUGUAUUUUAAAACUCGAAAAGGAUAUUUAGCUAUUUAGAAAUAACGAGAAAAUCGAAACCCAGUAAGUUAAGGCACAAUUCCUCGAUAUCUCAAAAUGCAUAACAUUGCCUUAUUUGGGAAAUUUUAUUUUUGAAUAGUAGCGAAUGUAAUAUUUAAAACAACAAGUGUUAUUUAUUUAGGUUAAAAUAAGGUGAUUUAUUGGAUAAAUACAUUGGGGUUUAAUUCGCGAGGCAAAUAUAUGAGAUACGAUGAUAAAUGAGUAUAAACAAUAAUACAUGGAUGACGUCACGUAAAAAUACAACAAUAAGGUGAAAAUGCAAGUGAACAAUUUAUGAUACAUGCGAUGACAAUAAUGGCUCACAUACAUCAUUCACAUACUAACAUUAACGAUUAAUGAACAAAAACAUAUAUUGCAAUCUAAAAAAUAUAAAUAGUAUAAAGCAAGUCAAAUUGAAUAAAGUAUAAAAACUAUAUAUAUUAAAAAAAACUAAUAGACCAGUUUAAAAAUAAAUAAAAUAAAAGAUGAAAUUCUUUUAAAAUCAAUAAUGUAUAAAGCGAUUUAAGAAAAAAUAAUACAUAUAAUUUUUUAGAACCAAUAAUAUAUGUACAUAAAAGCAUACUACGGGUAAUAUAAGAAAGUCCUAUAAUAAAUAAUAAAUAGAAUGUUUUAGAAUAAACAAAUGGAAAUUUGAAAGGUAUAUGAAAACAAUUUAAACUAAUGAAAUAAAUUUUAAAUAAAUAAUGCAAAAGAUGAUUUUUUUUUUUAAAAAGGUACUCUUAAAGUAUAAAUAUGGUGGUUUAUAAAUUGCUAUGAAUAAUGUUUUCGGCAUAAGAUAAAAUAAUAUAAAAUAUACAAUAAAAAAAUACAAUUUAACACAUCAUUUAAUAUUUAAAACAAACAUGCAAACUAAAAGGCAAGCAGUUUACAAAAGGGAACAUAAAAUAAAUAAUUAAUAUAUAUAUAUAUACAUUCAACAUUAUUGACAUAUAACACUUGGAAUAAACAAACAAAUAAAAUAAAUUUAAGAUAAAUAAAUAAAUGAACAAUGUGACAAAUCUUAUAAGUAACACAUGAAAUUUUAAACUAAAUAAAUAUAACAUCUGAAUAGUCAGCAAAUAAAAUGUAUAAUAACAUGAUAAAACAAUUUGGAAUAAAAGGGUGAGGACUAAAUUAAAAUAAAAAUGAAAUAAAAAACGGGUAUAAAUUAUAAAAUAGAAAACUGCCAGGGACUAUAUUGAUAUACGCGCGAUGAAACAGGGGUCAACUGGGAAAUUACCCCAACCCUUAAUGCGCUGUGUUUCAAUGUUGAGUCCAGGGAUCAAAUUAGAGAUGGAAUAAAAAUAAUCGGGCUAAAUUUAAAAGAAAAAAUAACAAAUCUGGACUAAAUCAAAUAUCAGAAAAAGGAGAAGGGACCAAGGCGGGAAAUUUCCCAUUUAAAGAAAAAAGGCGGAUCCCCCCGGAUACGGGUCGAGUCGCGAACGGGCACACUUAAAACGAUGCCGUUUGGGCACUUAGGUCACCCUUCAAAACGCUGCCGUUUCAUGCAGCAGAUUUAAGCCCAGAUUUUUUUAAAAAAUUUCAUUUUUACAGUCCAUUUUGCAGAAAAUUCCAAAAUCUCUUCUUUUUUUUUUUAGGGUUUUAAAACCCCCCAUUUUCGCCUCUUCCAUGGCCAACCAUGGAUUCCCCGGCGAUCCUCCAUGCCCAUGCCACGAAUCGGUGACCGGUACUACACGAGGUGGGCUCCCUUUGGUCCUCCUCCGAACGGAGGUCGAAGACGGAGCCUUCGCGGCCCACCACGACGGAAGAGACGAGGAAAGGCCCCGGGAGGUUCGUCGGAGCACCUCAAGCAGUGAAUCGGAGGUACCUUUUUUAUUAUUCGUAUUUUUUAUUACUGUUUUGUGUGUAAAAAAAUAAAAAAGAAAUAAAGAAGAAAGCAAAUCUCAGUGGAAAAGAAUGAAAAUCGAAACUCAACAAUAAUCACCUUUUGAAAUCGUUUAUUCUUUUGAUUAAUUUUGUUUGGUAAAUGUCUGUAACCGUUUACAAAGCAUAGAUUUCGGCUUUUAAAGCCAAUCUAUCAACCGUUCACUUCCUUUUUUUUGUUCUUUUGUUCAUUAUUUUCUUUUGCAUGCUCUCUGUUGUUGCAUCUGAUUUGAUUGCAGGUGUCAGAGGCCGACGGUUGGCUGGUGAGAAGGCGAGGCAGCGCGUGUGGAGGAGGCCGAACGGCGCCUAGGGUUUCCCUCUUCUCCUUUGGCUGAAAAAUGUUUAGGAUAGUUGGGCUAGUUGGGCUUCAGGGUUUUCUUUUAAUUGGGUAUUGGGUAAUUUGUUAUUUGGGCUAGGUGUAAUGGACUCUUGGACUUUUAUUUGUUUAUUGUAUUUUGGGUCUUAUUUUGGUUUGUUGGCAUGGGCCAAAAUUGGCUAUAACAACUUUUAUGUUCUGUUGCAACAAAUUUAAGUGCAAUUUCUACAAGCAAACAAGCCAGGUUGAAUUAUAGUUUGUUUACAACAAAACACUUAGUAAAUAUUUCGACAAUCAUAAUUAACCAAA